UGAGGAAUAUUGGGCAAUGGGCGAAAGCCUGACCCAGCCACGCCGCGUGUGUGAUGAAGGCCUUCGGGUCGUAAAGCACUGUGGGGAGAGACGAAAAAGCGCAUCAGGAAAUGGUUGCGCCUUGACGGUACCUCCUUAGCAAGCACCGGCUAACUCUGUGCCAGCAGCCGCGGUAAUACAGAGGGUGCGAACGUUAAUCGGAAUUACUGGGCGUAAAGCGCGCGUAGGCGGUUUGUUAAGUCAGCUGUGAAAGCCCUGGGCUCAACCUGGGAACUGCAGUUGAUACUGGCCGACUAGAGUACGAGAGAGGGAGGUAGAAUUCCAUGUGUAGCGGUGAAAUGCGUAGAUAUAUGGAGGAAUACCAGUGGCGAAGGCGGCCUCCUGGCUCGAUACUGACGCUGAGGUGCGAAAGCGUGGGGAUCAAACAGGAUUAGAUACCCUGGUAGUCCACGCCGUAAACGGUGUCUACUAGCCGUUGGGAGACUUGAUUUCUUAGUGGCGCAGCUAACGCAAUAAGUAGACCGCCUGGGGAGUACGGCCGCAAGGUUAAAACUCAAAGGAAUUGACGG
rnacentral:rRNA from 1 species